GUGCCAGCCGCCGCGGUAAUACGUAGGUGGCGAGCGUUGUCCGGAAUUACUGGGCGUAAAGGGCGUGUAGGCGGGGGUAGAAGUCAGGUGUGAAAUACCGCGGCUCAACUGCGGGGAUGCAUCUGAAACUCUGCUUCUUGAGUGUCGGAGAGGAAAGCGGAAUUCCCAGUGUAGCGGUGAAAUGCGUAGAGAUUGGGAGGAACACCAGUGGCGAAGGCGGCUUACUGGACAUUAACUGACGCUGAUGCGCGAAAGUGUGGGGAGCAAACAGGAUUAGAUACCCUGGUAGUCCACACCGUAAACGAUGGAUACUAGGUGUGGGGGGAUCGACCCCCUCCGUGCCGCAGUUAACGCAAUAAGUAUCCCACCUGGGGAGUACGGCCGCAAGGCUGAAACUCAAAGGAAUUGGCGG
rnacentral:rRNA from 1 species